AUCAUCUUCCUCCCUCUCCCUAGCUUCGUCUGCUUGCCCGCCCGACUCUCAUCUGGCUCACCCACACGACCCUCCGCCGGCUCGCCCACGCGGCCAUCCACCUCGCCUGCGCGACUCUCGCCUCGCCCGCGCGGCCCUCCUCACCCUCCUCCGUCUCGCCGCCGCGGCCAUCCGCAUCGCCCGCGCGGCCCUCCUCCGUUCGCCCCACGGCCCCCCGCCUGCUCGCCCGUGUGGGCCUCUGCCUCGCACGCGCAGCACUUCGCCUAGCCCGCGCGGCCCUCUACCUGCUCGUCGGCGCGGUCCUCCGCCUGCUCCGGCACCUGACGCACCGCUCGUGACCCGGACGAGCACGUCAUGCCUCCGCUUCCCCUGCAACAUCUGCUCUCGAAGCGCGCACGCUGCUUUCUCUACCAAUGUCCCCUGGUUCCCGAUCGACGAUCAUGACAUACAUACAUGAAGGCAUGUGCCUGUCACUAACUGACGUAUUCGAGGAUGCGGCGUGGACUGACGGGAUCCAUGUCCACAGAGGCCUUGGCGAGGGAUUUGGCGGCGCGUGGCCUCGGAUCCUACCUUGUCGCCGAUGAGGAUUCGUCUGUGGUGUUGGAUUGACUCCGCUGGUGAAGGUUAAUCAAGGAGGAAAAUAAUAGUUGGAAGCUCUUGCAACACUAUUUAAUGGGAUCAGCAUCAAUCAACUUCAAUCACUGCUAUCAGAAACAUAUAUCAGUGAUUUUUGUAACAGUUCCAUCACUGUCUUGUCUACCAAGAGUAUGCCAUGAAAAGCCAAUCACUGUCUUCUGUUUACCAUGAGUAUGCCAUGAAAAACCAAGAUACCAGUAGUUAUUCUCAGGUACUUUCUUACUUAUGAUGCAUUAGCUGUGACUUUCCAUCUUUUUGUUCAACUUUAUACUUAUUCUGCAAUCCUAGCAAUCCUGGGUAGUUCCUUCAGAUUUCCUAACUCGUCUGGUCAGACAAAGACCCAUUAUUAUUUUCUCUUUUAUUUAAUUAGAUUUUCUUAAAGUUCACCGCGUACUGUAAGAGUAUAUGGUGCAAUAUUGAAAGUUAUCAAUGAACUUCUAGAGCAGAAAAUAAAUGGUCAAGAAAGUAGCACAAACUGAAAUCUAAAAAAUAUACUGCAUCAAUAAAUUGAACCAUUUGCACAUCUAAUAUCUGGACAAAUAUAUGUACUUACACUCAAUGUAGACACUCAAUAGCCUUACCUAAAUAGCCUUGUGAUCUCAUAGGCAUUUACAUACUUACCGAACAAAGCGUUAUAGCCUAUACCCUUGUAUGAAUAAUAAACACUCGUCGAUAAACAUGAACAGUCGCAGGAACUCGAAGUAGAUCCUUAUUUCACCUUCUGAGCAAAUCAAAGCUAGUUCAGGAUUGAGAAUUAGAACCAAACGAUGAACAUAAUUUAACCGCAGUAGGAUAGCAUAAAACUUCAGGUUAGUAGGCAGAGUCUGAAAGUAAUGCAAAAUUAUAAUCGUCAACACAAAAGGGUGCACAAGUAACCUCAUUCAGAAAAAAUACACCGACAAUCCGGUAGCAAAUAACAAAAUUCAACAAGAACCCAAUUAAAUAUCAGAAUUAAGCUACGCAUGGCACAAAAGUUUUGCAUCUCCAAGUAAGGUGCCCGGUUUUAAUUAUGAACAUAAGAAGUUCAGAAGCUGAACAAGAGACCCUUUUUUUUAACAAAAACAAGAAAUCCCUUUCGUGGUUACCUAAAGAAGACAACAGGGCCAGGAAGAACUUCAAAUCUGCGUUGCCGGGAAUGAGGUUGAGGAUGACAGGGAACAACAUUGGCGGCAUGGCAGUCCUUUUAAUCCCCACCACGCUAGAUCUCCUCCGCAGCCUGCGGUGCAUGAUAAGUUCCAUUGAAAUGCUUAUACGAAUUUUCUAGAAGGACAAACUAUGGGCCGAACAAAAAAAUCUUAAGAAAUUUACCAAAAACAAAAGGCGCAAAGAAUAAAGUGAACUAAACCUGAGUGCAAUACCACGUGCAUCCAAGGAGCUUUCUUAGCCAAAGAAUCACGAAACAAGAGGCCCAGAGGCAGUGUUGCUAUAAGCAAAGCUGAUGGCUUCAGUCAUAGCACAAAUAACUCAAGACAAAUUGCGGACAAAAUAGGAGAAAACACAUAUUUCCAAACUUGUUCUUUGCAUAAGCACGACCAUGAACCAGCAUUUUUUUCGGUAAAGAGUAUAUUAUUAUCGAGAGAAACCAAUUACACCUAGCCUCUGCAACAACGUAAUACCCUAAUGGCAAUACGGCAUGCAUGAAUAAAGAUCCUGAAUGCUUAAGCAUAGCCUGGAGAAACAAAUAUCUUAAAAGGAUAAACAAUUUUGUAGGUGCUUACCUUUUCUACAAAGUUCAGGAUAGAGAACGUCCAUGGUGCAAAAUGUAGUAGCAUUUUUGAGUAGGACAAAACUUCACAUACCAAUAUACCAUGUUUCAAUUCGCCUGCAUUUAGCGACCAAAAACGCAUUGCAAAAUAAUUCAGAGCACACAGUAAAUGGUUUGAUUGCUGCAGAUUUGGUAAACCGUAACAGAAUUAACCUGCAUAUGGCCAGUUCUACCUUCGAGUGGCGACCUCCUGGUGUAGCGUGCGUCGGGGUCGGCUGCAAGUCCCUGCAGAUAGGCGUCGACAACGUCAUGCAUCAUGGUCGUCAGCAAGUCUCAACAAACAAGUGUUGACGGGCGGUGAGUUCCUGGUGCAGCCAAGCGGGCGAUAGUGCAAGAAGGCGGUCGACGGGCGGCGAAUCCCUAGUACUCUAUUACGGAUUCGAACGGCGGCGUUACGGUUUCUUCCAGCGGCGGGUGAAACAUGGACGAGAAGAAGGGACGGAUGAGAGAAUGAAGAGUGGCUAUGGUGAGGAGGAUAGUUGGAGGUCUUUUCCAAAAGUGAGGUCCGGCGCCGGAGAUAAGGACACGGGGUUGCGGCGCUCGCCACGGUCGGCGGGUCUAGCUGAGUUUAUAUGAUAUCUACAGGAAUGGAAUGAUAAGCAACACCAAUAGAAAUAUUUAUUUUCGGCGCACGGAAACACAUUCCAUAUAAGGAAGGCUUGAUCACGUCCUUAUAUCUGAAGAUGUGCUCUGGGGCCUAAUUGAUCUCUCAAGAUUGCAUCCCUAGCUCGCGGGAUCAAUUCGUGAUCUAUAUAAGGAAGGGCUGAUCGCAUCCCGAUAUCUUCGGAGAUGUCUUUGAUAGCAGAAACGAGGAGAUCAUGUCCUCCAUUUUUUUCAAGCGAUCUGCCUAAACAAGAAGGAUGAGAUCGUGUCAGCUAUAAAUCGAUUGACGUUACAAAGGGAAGGAGGGGCAACUUGCCAUGAAAUUAGCUCGGACAAAUGAAGACCAUGAGAUUAGAUUUGACGGUCAGGAUUGUUUUAAUGACGACCACCAAAGUGCGUUGAGUGUCAAACGACCAACUCACAUUUAAUAGUAAAGAUGCUUUAUUACUACCGUUGACAAAAUUGUUUCUUGUUUUCAAAAUAAAAUCUCUAGCAUAAAUAUAGCAAUCCAUGCUUCCCUCUUCGAAGGGCCAUUCUUUUACUUUUAUGUUGAGUCUGUUUACCCGCUUCCUUCCAUCUUAGAAGCAAACACUUGUGUUAACUGUGCAUUGAUUCUUACUGUUAUGUGGCUGCUAGGUGUAGUGUUAGAGUACGUCAUGGGCCUGGGCCCGUUAGUUUUAUGGUUUGCUUAGGGGUCAAGUAAGCCUUGCUUGGGAGUCAAGUAAACCUCUCUAUAUAUGGAGAGGAGAUGUAUCAAUUUAAUCAAGCAAGAAUUAAGAAGGAAAUCCCUUCCCUCUUGCCCGGCCGUGGGCAAAAGGCCCCCGGCCGGCCUUCUCGCGCCCUCGCAACCCUCUCUCUCCCUCCCAUAUUUCCUUCUUAAUUCUUGCUUCAUUAGAUUGAUACAUCUCCUCUUCAUAUAUAGAGAGGUUUACUUGACUCCCAAGCAAGGCUUACUUGACCCCUAAGCAAACCAUAAGACUAACGGGCCCAGGCCCAUGACGUACUCUAACACUUACAUACUUGCAUAUUUGCAUUCAUCAUAUUACUUUAUGUUGAAAAUAUCCAUGAGAUAUACAUGUUGAAGUUGAAAGCAACCGCUGAAACUUAAUCUUCCUUUGUGUUGCUUCAAUGCCUUUAUUUAGAAUCUAUUGCUUUAUGAGUUAACUCUUAUGCAAGACUUAUUGAUGCUUGUCUUGAAAGUACUAUUCAUGAAAAGUCUUUGCUAUAUGAUUCAAUUGUUUACCCAUUGUCUUUACCAUUGCUUCGAAUCGCUGCAUUCAUUACAUGUGCUUACAAUAGUAUUGAUCAAGAUUAUGAUAGCAUGUCACUUCAGAAAUUAUCUUUGUUAUCGUUUACCUACUCGGGAUGAGUAGGAACUAAGCUUGGAGAUGCUGAUACGUCUCCAACGUAUCGAUAAUUUCUUAUGUUCCAUGCUUGUUUUAUGAUGAUUGAUGGCGUGUAACUCACACGUUCGUUGGGAACCCCAAGAGGAAGGUAUGAUGCGCACAGCAGCAAGUUUUCCCUCAGAAAGAAACCAAGGUUUAUCGAACCAGGAGGAGCCAAGAAGCACGUUGAAGGUUGAUGGCGGCGGGAUGUAGUGCGGCGCAACACCAGGGAUUCCGGCGCCAACGUGGAACUCGCACAACACAACCAAAGUA